CUACAACCUGCUUCCGAUUGUUUGGCAUCAGUAGAACAUAUGCGGCACCCAACUGCUGGGCUUAAUGUUGUAUGAAUUGAAUGCUAGACCCUUAUCUAUCAUUUAUUUGUCUCAUGUGUAUAUGCCCAUAUAUAUUACAGACAUUUUUUAUUUAAUUAUUCAGGAAUUGGCACAUGAGUUGCAUUAUCUCAUUCCUCUGGGUCCCCCUCACUGACAGAAUAAUGCAAAGGAGCCGUAGCUAACACUUAUACUCUUUGGGUUGUUCAUCAGGAAAUAAGGCCUCAUUAAACUGCCUGUAUCACACAGCAAGAAAUUAUCCUUAAGGAGUGCCUGGCAUCGAAAGCCUCUCUCAUCCCUUAUCCCUUCACCGGCUGCUGUAAGAAAAGUUGCAUGGCUCAGUCAUAAUUUACAGGCAAGUCUCAAUAUUUGGGCUGUGUCAUUUUGAUGGAUAUAGAGCUGUCCCCACUACAAGGUCAACAUGUGUAUCUGUUUAUUCGGGGAAAUAUAUGGCACGAGGGAGAAAGAGCAGCGUGUCAGAAGGCUCUUUCUCAGUUUGAGGCUUCCUUCUCUGCUUACUGGGUGGCCUUUGGCAAAUUCCUGCAUUACAGCUUUCCCUUCUUUCUCCAAAAUGUAAAAUGGGAAUAAUGGCAACCUUACCCUAGGAAGAUGUACAAAAUGAAGUCUGUGCAACAGUCUCAGUAAAGGUGGUACAGUGGUACCUCGGGUUACAGACGCUUCAGGUUACAGACUCUGCUAACCCAGAAAUAGUACCUUGGGUUAAGAACUUUGCUUCAGGAUGAGAACAGAAAUCGCGCGGCGGCAGCAGGAGGCCCCAUUAGCUAAAGUGGUACCUCAGGUUAAGAACAGUUUCAGGUUAAGAACAGACCUCCAGAUGAAUUAAGUUCUUAACCCGAAGUCCUAUGCACAUUUACUUGGAAGUGAGCCCCACGGAGGGACUUCCUUCAGUGUAGAAAUGAAUAGGUUUCCACCCUUGAUCUGAGAGCUGGCCCAUGACAGCCCACUAUUGAUAACGUGUCUACUAUGUUCUUGCGCUAUUUCCAUUCAGUGGUGCUUGUGCAAAAGAAUAGCCAUGCUAGGUAAAGGUAAAGGGACCCCUGACCAUUAGGUCCAGUCGUGGCCGACUCUGGGGUUGUGGCACUCAUCUCGCUUUAUUGGCCGAGGGAGCCGGCAUACAGCUUCCGGGUCAUGUGGCCAGCAUGACUAAGCCACUUCUGGCGAACCAGAGCAGCUCACGGAAACGCCAUUUACCUUCCCGCCAGAGCGGUACCUAUUUAUCUACUUGCACUAUGACGUGCUUUCGAACUGCAAGGUUGGCAGGAGCAGGGACUGAGCAACGGGAGCUCAUCCCAUCAUGGGGAUUCAAACUGCCGACCUUCUGAUUGGCAAGUCCUAGGCUCAGUGGUUUAACCCACAGUGCCACCCGUGUCCCAAUAGCCAUGCUAGUAGGUGAUAUUUGUACUUAUUAGACUCCAGCAGCAUCUGAAUGGUGCCACAUUAGCUUCCCCACUUUAUAUUAUUUCUACAGUUCUGUUAAUUAUUUAUUUUUUAAGCUUCUUUGAUUAGAAAUUAUAAUAUUGAUUUCAUGAUGCAUCCUUUUUUCAUUAUUACUACUAUUAUUACUGAUGAUGAUGAUGAUGAUAUUAAUCACUGAGUAAAACCCAGUGAAAUCAAUGAGCUUGAAUAACUUGGGUUUACUCUGAAUAUGACUAAUGUUGGAGAUCAUCCUUUUUUGUAUUUAAAUUGCCUGUCGCUGUUUCACUAUGUUCUUGUUCAUUUGAUAUGUUCAUAUGGAUAUAUUGACUAACCUGUCAUUUACCUCUCUUGUGCUUUAUUAUUGUUGUGACCUGCUUUGAACUCAACUUUCUUCUUGGAAGAACAGCACACAAAAAUCAAAACAAAUCAUCAUUUGGCAAAAGAUGUAUAUAUGAGCCAUAAAAGUGGUGAGAUAAGAGCAUCCCAAUGGAUCUUUGAAGCUUAAAGCAAUCAUUUUCAAAGAAUAUUGUUAGAAUGUUUAUAAUACAUGAAUUUCUGAGUGGUUUUGGAGACUUGAGACUGGUUUAUAGAAAAGCAGAGAAGAAGCAACACAGAGAUUUCCCAAUGCUCCCCCAACCAUUAUCUCUAGAUACCAGGAAGGCAGAAGAGCAGAAUUCUGUCCUUAGGUCUAUUCAGCUAUUCAUCAAUUCAAUAGAAACAGAUUCCAAUUAUAAUAAUUCUCUUACUGUGUGGAAGUUACCUAACAAUGUCACUCAGCAACUGUCAAUGACUCCUGGACUCUAGAACCUGCAAUGACUUCUAGCCAUUCUCUGGCUGAAAGCCAAUCGUUACCUGAUUGUGACUUCCACAACGGCCUGUCCACUGCUGGAAACAAGAAACUGGCCUGCACGGUCCAUUAAUCUGAUCCAACACAGCUCUUCUGUUUGAGGGAUGUCAAAUUUCCCAGCUAACCUAACACUAAGCCAGUUGAAGCACAUUUACAAAGCACUAAUGAAGCACUUCUCUGUGGGCCACAACACUUAGCAUAAAGAAAUUCCUCUUAUUUCAUUGGGAUUUGUUCCAAAGUGUGUGCUUAUGACUGUAGCCUUAGUGUGGGGCGGGGGUUAAGUGCUUCAGAGCUUCUGGCAGCAGAGUGCUUCAAUGGGCACUCUGGAGAACCAGCUCUCCCAUCCUGCCUUGAGGUCAAAGAGUGAAGAAAGAUACCCUCAGGGUAAUAGGAAAUUGCCUAGAGUCUAGAGUGGCUGUAGGCAACUGUAAGCAGCUGAUCAGGUG